CCUACGGGAGGCAGCAGUGGGGGAUAUUGCGCAAUGGGGGCAACCCUGACGCAGCAACGCCGCGUGAAGGAUGAAGGUUUUCGGAUUGUAAACUUCUUUUAUUAAGGACGAAAAUUGACGGUACUUAAUGAAUAAGCUCCGGCUAACUACGUGCCAGCAGCCGCGGUAAUACGUAGGGAGCAAGCGUUGUCCGGAUUUACUGGGUGUAAAGGGUGCGUAGGCGGCUUUGCAAGUCAGAUGUGAAAUCUAUGGGCUCAACCCAUAAACUGCAUUUGAAACUGUAGAGCUUGAGUGAAGUAGAGGCAGGCGGAAUUCCCCGUGUAGCGGUGAAAUGCGUAGAGAUGGGGAGGAACACCAGUGGCGAAGGCGGCCUGCUGGGCUUUAACUGACGCUGAGGCACGAAAGCGUGGGUAGCAAACAGGAUUAGAUACCCGGGUAGUC
rnacentral:rRNA from 2 species